ensembl:lncRNA
CGGACACUGUGCGUGGUGGAGGAGGAGGAGGAGGAGGAGCAGGAGGAGGAAGGCUGUUGCUGCUCUGGACUGUUUCACGAGGUCUGCUUGACAACACGCGGGGACACACAGCGCCGACGGAAGAGUUUCAUCGUUCAUCAGGGCUGCAGCUCUACUUAACGUGUCGCGCCCCGAGACAGACAGAAAGUCUGUCCACCGUGUGGUUCAUCUCAGAGCCGAAGGGACCCUCGAUGACCAGCGCCCCACGCCACAGGGCAGGGUGCCGGGGUCACAGCCAUCACAACCCUCCUGGUCUGGGGCGAUAGGUUAGAGGGGGAUCAAUGCUGCCCCCCUAAGCAGGAGGCUGGAGGUGUUUCCACAUCAGCAGCCCCACGCCGUGGUCUCUGACCCCGCUGGGGGGACGGGGGACGGACGGCGUUUACACAGCGCUGCUCCAACCAGUGGCCCCCCGAGCGCUUUACUACACUGCCUCACUUUCACCCAUUCAUGCACACAUUCACACAUUCACACACCGACUGCGGAGUCAGCCCUGACGACCACGGGACCAAUCAGGGCCUUUCAAAGGACUACGGUGAUCCACGGGCCCCGGGGGGACCCCUAACGUCAGCUGGGGGGGGUCCCCUAACGUCAGCUGGGGGGGGACCCCUAACGUCAGCUGAGGGGGGGACUGUUCCCCGGAUCACAGCGGAGCAGCGGGUUGGAGCAGGGGUUCAUUCGAGGAGAGCAGGAGUACCGAUCCGCCUGACAUGGUCUCCAGAUCUCCUCGGGGUCCAGGGUGGGGAGGAGAUGAAUAGACAUGAGGCCCUCCACCCUUUGAUCUCAGUUCAAGGACAUCGCUCCAGGAAGUCAUGGCGCUCUGUGUGUGUGCUUUGAGUGUGUCAUUGCGUCAUUGUGUCUGUGUGCUUUGUACGUCUGUGUGUCUGUCUGUAUGUCAUUGUGACUGUGUGUCUUUGUAUGUAUGUGUGUCAGUCUGCAUGUUUGUGUGUCUGUGUGUCCUGACUUUGGGUUUUCGCAUGCAUGCGUAUGUGUAAUAUCUAUUUGCAGAUGAGUCACAUGCGGGUGUGUGUGUGUUUAUUAAGCUAGUGUUUUGCGGUGCUUCUGUGUAUUUAAGAGGUCUGUGUCUUUAAGAGUCCUGUGUCUUUUAGAGUACUGUGUCUUUAAGAGUCCUGUUUCUUUAAGAGUCCUGUGUCUUUAACAGUACUGUGUCUUUAACAGUACUGUGUCUUUAACAGUACUGUGUCUUUAAGAGUCCUGUGUCUUUUAGAGUACUGUGUCUUUAACAGUACUGUGUCUUUAACAGUACUGUGUCUUUAAGAGGUCUGUGUCUUUAAGAGUACUGUGUCUUUUAGAGUACUGUGUCUUUAACAGUACUGUGUCUUUAAGAGUACUGUGUCUUUAAGAGUACUGUGUCUUUAACAGUACUGUGUCUUUAAGAGGUCUGUGUCUUUAAGAGUACUGUGUCUUUAAGAGGUCUGUGUCUUUAACAGUACUGUGUCUUUAAGAGGUCUGUGUCUUUAAGAGGUCUGUGUCUUUAAGAGGUCUGUGUCUUUAAGAGGUCUGUGUCUUUAAGAGUACUGUGUCUUUAAGAGGUCUGCGUCUUUAACAGUACUGUGUCUUUAAGAGGUCUGUGUCUUUAAGGGUCCUGUGUCUUUAACAGUACUGUGUCUUUAAGAGUACUCUGUCUUUAACAGUACUGUGUCUUUAAGAGGUCUGUGUCUUUAAGAGUACUGGGACUCGGAUCAUUAAGUGUACCCCUCCUUCUCCUGCAAAAAGUAAAUGAAUACUACGGCUAAUAAAACCCUUGAGGUGGCGUUUUGGCAAGAGAAAACUUACAUUUUAUUAGUACAUGUAAUAGAGAUAAUUAUGAGCCUUUGAUUGAUAUCCAGACAUUUUUUGCGGGGACACAUUCGUGUUCCCCACUUGUAUUGGAGUGAAUGGAGAUAUCUACUUCUGGGUCCUUUGAAUCGAGGGACCCGUCCACAGCCCGCUUAAACAGCUGCAAUACCAGUCUUGGCCGCUGAGAACUGGUGGAUUGCGGAAGUAUGUACAGUUCCUGGGGGCUUAUGCCGCUUUUCCACCGCACAUGUAGCUCGACUCGACUCGACACGACUCGACACGACUCGACACGGUAGCAGCACGGGUCGUUUUCCACCGCAAAUAGUACCUCCUGGACGUGGGCGGGGUCGGCUGCGCGAAAGGGCUGUGACGUAUUUUUGUACACGACGCAAACAACACCUACGCAACCCACACAUGGACAGAACCCACAUAACAACAAUGGAGGACAUCGAUAACAUUACUAUUAUUAGCAGGCAUGUUGAAGAAGUUGAAGAAGUGGAAUAUGUUGGCUGCGGCGCUGCUAUGGCUGUUACCAGCAUGGUUGCCAUGUCGCUCUCGUGACUUCAUCACACUCUCUGGCCAAUCAGUGGCCGGCCGUCUGCCGACGUCACCUUUCAGCAUCGGCUCAGCCGCUUGGAACCUAGAGCGAGGCGGUACUAGAAAAAGCAGCCACUUCAG